rnacentral:rRNA from 1 species
GACGAACGCUGGCGGCGUGCUUAACACAUGCAAGUCGAACGGAAAGGCCCUGCUUUUGUGGGGUGCUCGAGUGGCGAACGGGUGAGUAACACGUGAGUAACCUGCCCUUGACUUUGGGAUAACUUCAGGAAACUGGGGCUAAUACCGGAUAGGAGCUCCUGCUGCAUGGUGGGGGUGGGAAAUUUUCGGCGGUUGGGGAUGGACUCGCGGCUUAUCGGCUUGUUGGUGGGGUAGUGGCUUACCAAGGCUUUGACGGGUAGCCGGCCUGAGAGGGUGACCGGCCACAUUGGGACUGAGAUACGGCCCAGACUCCUACGGGAGGCAGCAGUGGGGAAUAUUGCACAAUGGGCGGAAGCCUGAUGCAGCAACGCCGCGUGCGGGAUGACGGCCUUCGGGUUGUAAACCGCUUUCGCCUGUGACGAAGCGUGAGUGACGGUAAUGGGUAAAGAAGCACCGGCUAACUACGUG